GCUGGGCCUGGUGGUGCAUGCCUGUAGUUCCAGCUACUUGGGAAGCUGAGACAGGAGGAUCACUUGAGUCCAGGAGGUUGAGGCUGUAGUGAGCCAUGAUUGCACCACUGCACUCCAGCCUGGGUGACAGAGUGAGAUCCUGACUCAA
rfam:Homo sapiens chromosome 5, GRCh38 reference primary assembly.